UGCGUAGGUGGCAAGCGUUGUCCGGAAUUAUUGGGCGUAAAGCGCGCGCAGGUGGUUUCUUAAGUCUGAUGUGAAAGCCCACGGCUCAACCGUGGAGGGUCAUUGGAAACUGGGGAACUUGAGUGCAGAAGAGGAAAGUGGAAUUCCAAGUGUAGCGGUGAAAUGCGUAGAGAUUUGGAGGAACACCAGUGGCGAAGGCGACUUUCUGGUCUGUAACUGACACUGAGGCGCGAAAGCGUGGGGAGCGAACAGG
rnacentral:rRNA from 1 species